UACGUAGGGGGCAAGCGUUGUCCGGAAUCAUUGGGCGUAAAGAGCGUGUAGGCGGCCAUACAGGUCAGCUGUGAAAACUCGAGGCUCAACCUCGAGACGUCGGUUGAAACCGUAUGGCUAGAGUCCGGAAGAGGAGAGUGGAAUUCCCGGUGUAGCGGUGAAAUGCGCAGAUAUCGGGAAGAACACCCAUGGCGAAGGCAGCUCUCUGGGACGGUACUGACGCUGAGACGCGAAAGCGUGGGGAGCGAACAGG
rnacentral:rRNA from 1 species